AAAUAGAAAAGUCUGGGCAGGUCAGUACAUCCAGCAGUAAGACCUUUCACGUUUUUCUUCAUCAGGUCAUCAUCACAGAUGGAAGGGCUCCGUAUUGUUCUGGUCAUUCUGCUAGUAGUAUCAUGCACUCAUGACUGGACCUCUGGAUCAGAGUUGGAGAUGACAGUCAGACCAGGAGACAACAUCACUCUCUACUGUGACUGCAAGUUAUCAUCCGGAGUAUACAUCAUGUGGUACAGGAACUGCUCUCAUGAGAACCAGCCUUCUCUCGUCCUUAAUCCAAAAGCAUGGAGAAGAGACUUUAUGGAGGAAAAACAUGUUCUGAAUCCUCUACCUCGUUUCCACUUUGUGAGAAACUCUUCCUCUGAGUCCUUUGACCUGCUGAUCGUUAACAUCACUGAGACCGAUGAAGGGCUCUACUACUGUGGAACUAAUCAGUUGAAGGUGGAGAAAAACAAACAAUUUACUUUCACAGAUAUUUACACACAUGGCAACAUCUCAACAAGGAUCCAUGUCAUUCCAGAUUCCAGCUCAUGCCCUCACCCCGGUGGACACAUUUUGAACCCUGUUGUGACCUGGAUGAUGGUGCUCACUCCAGCCUUUACUAUUCUCACCUCCUUGAUUUAGUUUAUUCUGGU